UGUUCCCGCCCACCGCCCCGCCCCCUGGCCACGACCCCGCCCACAGCCCCGCCACCGGAGCUGGUCUCCGUCCCUGGUGCUGACGCAGCCCGGAGCCCCGGGACCCUCAAUAAUUGAGCCGGGAAAUCCCCCGCCGAAGGCUGGGGUGCGCGGCGGUCGCCCCUGCCCGCACCCCCCCCACCCCGGGGCCCCUAAACGUCCUUCUCCGCGGCAGCUCCACAGAGACCGGAACUGGGGCGCGAGGCGGCCCGCCCGAGACCGGAAGCGGAAGCGUGGGGCGGUGCCGCGGAGGGAGCCUCGGGUGGUUUGCUGCGUGGGGUGUGCGGUCUCCUUCGCGCGUGACCGGCUUCACGUGACAGGAAAAGCAUCUCUCGAGCUCCAGUUUGUGUUAAAACCCGCUUCAGGGCCCACCAGCCUCAAAGUCCACCAUCCUCACUGAUCCGUGGAUUUCGGUGUGACCAGGGUCAGGGGCUUUUUGAGCGAUGGUGACCGCGUUUCCCUAGAAGUGGCAGCGUUACAGCCCUGGUGCCGGCGGAGGAUGGGAGUCCUGCCUAGUUGGAGUUCUUCUGGGUGAGCGUGAAGGUGGGGCGUAUAGAUGAGGAAAUGCGUAUGUGAAGGGUCAUGAAAUCCAAGGUGGGGAAGCGUGAAGUGAGAACAGGGAGCACUGGGGAAGCAGGAGAGCAGCUGGAUGGGUCCUCUGUGUGGUGAAGGAGAUGCUGAGUGAGCAAGGAUGUAGUUUAGGAGGCUGGGUUCAGAGACAUUUCUGAGCGGUUGUUCUAGAUGGUAAAAUAGUGUCAGGUGAUGACGAGGUCUAGGGUGAUGCGGAUGGAAGGUGCAGCCAAGGUGGAUGGGAACAAACGUGACACAGUGAGGUCAUCCUCACGAGCUCUGACAUCAUCCAAGGGUGCUGGGACCAGAGGUUGAAGGACUCAGGGCAGGCAGGUGCCAGCGACCCCAGUUGGUAAAGGGUUGUGCUUGGGAAUGUGUGACGACCACCUGGAUGGGAGGAAGGUGCCCUGGGACCCAGUGAAGCUGGGGACUUGAGUGGGGUGGGACAGGCAUGUGCUGGUCGUACUGGUC
rnacentral:lncRNA from 1 species